CUACCUUAGGGGUCUUUUGGUAGAGUGUACAAAUUGACCUGCAGUAAUGUGUAAUGUGCAUUUUGCUUGCAGGUUAAUUUGAAUAGUCUACCUUACUUCUUACUUUUUCACUUGCAAGUUUCCGUUUAUCAAACACAAUGUUUGAAUAUGGACUAUCUAGAUGACUCAGCCAAACUGUAUAUGCAUCUGCUGUGAUAUAAGUGUUCAUUCAGUCUUCAUAUUGAAGGCUGUUAUGGUCCCCUGAUAUGGAUCUGGUUAUGGGGCGUUGUAGUGUGAAAUCGAAUGUUUUCUUCCUACGACCUAUGAUGUUGGUUCGUUAAGAGAGAACUUGCAAUCUCUUGAGUUUGAAGUACUCAAAGACUUAGUAAUUUUCUGCAUAACAUUUCACUGAAUUCAAAUACAUUAAAUACAACACUGAAACAAUGAAAGUAACUGCCUACUGCCUACUACAACUGAAUGAGAAAGUGGAGGAAUAACCUCCUUACUGCAAUAACUGCUACACAGAAAAUGUAAACAUAAAUACUUAAAAGCUGUAGUAAUCUACUGCGAACAACUAAAUAACUUAUAAGCUAAAGUAAUCUACUUUCUAAUUUCCUUAAAUCUCCCAUGUGUAAACCGUUGGUAGACUAAAGGAGUGCUAACAAAGGCUUUUGAAUAUUGUGGUCUAGAUGAAGCACAAUCAUCCCACAGUAUAAGCGUGCUCUCGACAUUCUUGGAAGUGACAAGAAUGAAAGAUUAUACUGCUUAUGCAAAUGUACUGUUCCCUCUGUUCCAAUUUAUGUGUCGUACUUCCCUUUUUAGUAUGUUUCAAAGAGAAUGACACCUUCUAUGUUUAGUAACUCUUUAAUUCCAACAUCCCACAACAUGUUUAAGACCAUAAGAUUCGAAGGCCAUUUUGGUGCAUUAUACACAUCUUUGGGUCAAGACUUAAGACCACAAAAUUCAAAAGUCUACCUUACUAUCUUAGGAGUCAUUUGGUAGAGUGUACAAAUUUACCUGCAGUUAUGUGUAAUAUGCAUUUUGCUUGCAGGUCAAUUUGAACAGUCUACCUUACUUCUUACUUUUUCACUUGCAAGUUUCCGUGUAUCAAACACAAUUUUUGAAUAUGGACUAUCUAGAUGACUCAGCCGAUCUGUAUAUGCAUUUCCUGUAAUAUAAGUAUUCAUUCAGUCUUCAUAUUGAACGCUUUGUCCUGGG
rnacentral:lncRNA from 1 species